CGGACGGGUGAGUAACACGUGGAUAACCUACCUAUAAGACUGGGAUAACUUCGGGAAACCGGAGCUAAUACCGGAUAAUAUAUUGAACCGCAUGGUUCAAUAGUGAAAGACUGUUUUGCUGUCACUUAUAGAUGGAUCCGCGCCGCAUUAGCUAGUUGGUAAGGUAACGGCUUACCAAGGCGACGAUGCGUAGCCGACCUGAGAGGGCGAUCGGCCACACUGGAACUGAGACACGGUCCAG
rnacentral:rRNA from 1 species